rnacentral:rRNA from 1 species
AGAAUGAACGCUGGCGGCGUGCCUAACACACGCAAGUCGCACGAGAAAGUCCCAGCUUGCUGGGGCUAGUAAAGUGGCGCACGGGUGAGUAACGCGUGGGUAAUCUACCUCCGAAUUGGGGAUAACAUUGCGAAAGCGGUGCUAAUACCGAAUGACAUCACCGAGACUACGGCCUUGGUGAUCAAAGGUGGCCUCUACAUGUAAGCUAUUGUUUGGAGAUGAGCCCGCGUACCAUUAGCUAGUUGGUAGGGUAAUGGCCUACCAAGGCUACGAUGGUUAGCUGGUCUGAGAGGAUGAUCAGCCACACUGGAACUGACACACGGUCCAGACUCCUACGGGAGGCAGCAGUGAGGAAUUUUGCGCAAUGGGGGAAACCCUGACGCAGCAACGCCGCGUGAGUGAUGAAGGCUUUCGGGUCGUAAAGCUCUGUCAAGUGGGAAGAACCUGCUUUGUGAUAAUACCACGAAGCACUGACGGUACCACUGAAGGAAGCACCGGCUAACUCCGUGCCAGCAGCCGCGGUAAUACGGGGGGUGCUAUCGUUAUUCGGAAUCAUUGGGCGUAAAGGGCGCGUAGGCGGUCUCUUAAGUCAGAUGUGAAAGCCCCCGGCUUAACCGAGGAAGUGCAUUUGAUACUAAGUGACUUGAGUAUGGGAGAGGGGAAGCGGAAUUCCUGGUGUAGCGGUGAAAUGCGUAGAUAUCAGGAGGAACACCGGUGGCGAAGGCGGCUUCCUGGACCAAUACUGACGCUGAGGCGCGAAAGGCGUGGGGAGCAAACAGGAUUAGAUACCCUGGUAGUCCACGCAGUAAGCGGUGAACACUAGGGUGUAGCGGGUAUUGACCCCCGCUGUGCCGAAGCUAACGCAUUAAGUGUUCCGCCUGGGAAGUACGGCCGCAAGGUUAA